UACGUAGGGUGCAAGCGUUGUCCGGAAUUAUUGGGCGUAAAGAGCGUGUAGGCGGUCAGGUAGGUCAGCUGUGAAAACUCGAGGCUCAACCUCGAGACGCCGGUUGAAACCAUCUGACUAGAGUCCGGAAGAGGAGAGUGGAAUUCCUGGUGUAGCGGUGAAAUGCGCAGAUAUUAGGAAGAACACCCGUGGCUAAGGCGGCUCUCUAGUACGGUACUAACGCUGAGACGCGAAAGCGUGGGGAGCGAACAGG
rnacentral:rRNA from 1 species